rnacentral:tRNA from 6 species
GGGUCGUUAGCUCAGUUGGUAGAGCAGCUGACUUUUAAUCAAUUGGUCGCAGGUUCGAAUCCUGCACGACCCACCA